rnacentral:rRNA from 1 species
GAUGAACGCUGGCGGCGUGCCUAAUACAUGCAAGUCGAGCGAACAGACGAGGAGCUUGCUCCUCUGACGUUAGCGGCGGACGGGUGAGUAACACGUGGAUAACCUACCUAUAAGACUGGGAUAACUUCGGGAAACCGGAGCUAAUACCGGAUAAUAUAUUGAACCGCAUGGUUCAAUAGUGAAAGACGGUUUUGCUGUCACUUAUAGAUGGAUCCGCGCCGCAUUAGCUAGUUGGUAAGGUAACGGCUUACCAAGGCAACGAUGCGUAGCCGACCUGAGAGGCUGAUCGGCCACACUGGAACUGAGACACGGUCCAGACUCCUACGGGAGGCAGCAGUAGGGAAUCUUCCGCAAUGGGCGAAAGCCUGACGGAGCAACGCCGCGUGAGUGAUGAAGGUCUUCGGAUCGUAAAACUCUGUUAUUAGGGAAGAACAAAUGUGAAAGUAACUAUGCACGUCUUGACGGUACCUAAUCAGAAAGCCACGGCUAACUACGUG